rnacentral:rRNA from 1 species
UGGGGAAUAUUGGACAAUGGGCGAAAGCCUGAUCCAGCCAUGCCGCGUGUGUGAAGAAGGUCUUCGGAUUGUAAAGCACUUUAAGUUGGGAGGAAGGGCAGUAACCUAAUACGUUGCUGUCUUGACGUUACCGACAGAAUAAGCACCGGCUAACUCUGUGCCAGCAGCCGCGGUAAUACAGAGGGUGCAAGCGUUAAUCGGAAUUACUGGGCGUAAAGCGCGCGUAGGUGGUUAGUUAAGUUGGAUGUGAAAUCCCCGGGCUCAACCUGGGAACUGCAUUCAAAACUGACUGACUAGAGUAUGGUAGAGGGUGGUGGAAUUUCCUGUGUAGCGGUGAAAUGCGUAGAUAUAGGAAGGAACACCAGUGGCGAAGGCGACCACCUGGACUGAUACUGACACUGAGGUGCGAAAGCGUGGGGAGCAAACAGGAUUAGAUACCCCUGUAGUCCCUGAGCGGGCUGGCAAGGCGCAU